rnacentral:lncRNA from 1 species
AGAUGCCCUGCACGGAGCCUCCUGAGAUAGGUCUGGCUGAGGUGUCAUAUGCCUGCCUCUAGAGUGGGUUCUGCCAGCGCAGGUGGCCUGGUGGCUCAUGGCAAGCCCUUGACAUUUUUUUUAAGAGCCACUAAGGCCCCGAUGUGGAAUUUACAAAGCUUACAGCUGUUCUAGAAUCUUGUUUCCCGCCGCCGCCCUUGAGUCGGGACACGGCGGGUAUAGUAUAUAAAGAAGGCCGCUGCAGGAAGAAAAGCCUCUCCAAACCAUCUUACCCACAUUGCAAGCUGUGCCACCGGCCAUGAAUGGCAGCCAGUGCUAAUGUCCAAUGUUAGAUACUGUUCUCACUGGUGCCAUGGGACACCUGGCAUGGACAGCUGAAGGGAAUAUCAGGAAGUGCAGUCUAUCAUGGCAGCCCCGUAAUGUCUAUGGCCAGAUGGCUUUUUCUCUUUGUGUGGACCAGGACACAGAGAGCUCAGCAGGACGUGGACAAGGCUAUAGCCACCCCGACCCUGGCCCACUCAUUUGAGCCACUUACUCUAGCUAGGUCCCACUCCCUAAAGGCGCCACAACCCACCGAGUCAGCACACAAGCUGGGAACCAAUUAUUCAAAGACAGGGGCUGUGAGAGGUGUUUUAUAUGCAGAUCUUAACAUGAAGUCCUGUGGGCUUCGAAGAGUCCGUGUGUUCUCAAACCUGAGUUCAAGGAUCCAUUUCCUUAGAAAAGGAAAAUUCAAAUCUAUCUCAAUGAAUGCAGGUUCCAUCCUAUAAAUCCUCUUCUGCCAGUUGCCAUUGUAUCAACAUAAAAAGAUAUGUACAAUUUAAAUAUAUUUAUAACUGUUAUGCAAAAAUAUGUACUGAGUACCUAUCUAUAAUGGCAGUUAUAUUUUAUUACAGGCACACACAUGCUGUCAUCUAAAUGUCAAUAAAAUAUUUACAAUACAACCAUGAAAACCUGUUGUUUUAUGAGAUCCACAGUUGUAAAUAGUGCAGUACAAUAAAACCAAAAUAACAAUAUAGCCAAAUGUAAGUUUACGUGUAAGCAAAAAAUGAAUGAUUGGCUUAGAUAUUGGAGUACAGUCCUAUGACCAGAAAAGAUGUCAUUAGGAAUUUUGGCUAUCGAACACAGGAAUACUGCACUCAGACAUCAGCAAUACUUGUUCAACACAUAAGUAAAACAAUGAAACAGCUUUUUUUAAAAAAAAGAUUUAUUUAUUUUAUUUAUAUAAGUACACUGUCCCUGUCUUCAGUCACACCAGAAGAGGAGGGCAUCCGAUCCCAUUACAGAUCGUUGGGCCACCAUGUAGUUGCUGAGAAUUGAACUCAGGACCUCCAGAAGAGCGUUCAGUGCUCUUAACCACUGAGCCAUCUCUCCAGCCCCAAUGAAAUAGCUUUUAAAAUGUUUAUUUGUUUGUUUGUUCAUUCAUUCUCCAUUCAUUCACUUUUAACCCUGUAGACUAACUAAGGGCUCUUGGCAUGCUAAACAGGUGUUCUAGUACCUAGCCUUAUUCCCGGUCUCAUUAUUUUAUUUUUUAUUUUGUGAGAUAGGGUCUUAGGUAGCCUAGGCUAGCCUUGAACUCACUGUGAUGGCCUUCCACUUCUGAUUAGUCUGUGUCCACUUUUCAGGAGCCAGGGUUGCAAGUACGGACCACCAUGGCCAGAGCAUGCAGUCCUGUGGUCAUAUAUAUGUUAGGCGAGCACUCUGCUAAGUCCCCACAACAUUACACAGGAAAGGGGAAGAUGUGUGUUCAUGCUUGUUAGUUUCGUGUACCAUUUUCUGAAAGUCUUCUUGCACAGAAAAUCAAUGCUAUGUCUCACCCAACUGGAUGUAGCAUUGUUACAGGAAAAUGGAUUCAUAUAUCACCUACUAAAAUGAACACAUUUUCUUGAAACACUUGCUCAUUCCUGUGCACAAAUGCUCACGUCUUGUCCAUCACAGCUUAUCAGAGAGGAGGGAGGCUGACGCAGAGCCCUUCUGUGUCACCUUCCCUGGGCUUAGCGGGCCGUUCUACAACCUUCCUGCCUCUGUCUCUCCUGGUCACUUGUGACCACAGCAUAACCCAUUCCAUUUUGAACAAUGAUGUCUGUUUAUCGAAUUGUCCUUUAAUGAAUCUGAAUGUAUCUUCUGGGACUUCUACCCACUGAUUGUAUGUUUUGCCUACCAAAGAAACAGUUCUCCCUUCUCUUUCUGCAUAUCAAGUUAGGAAUCUCUCUCCUUCUGUGCUGAGGACAGCUCUUCUGCAUGUCUGUUUCCCGCCUGCAGUGGACAGAGGCUCCCUGUGAGUGCAGGAAUGCAGCAUAGGAAUACGGUAGAUUACAUGGUCAUCCUACCUAAACCCUGAUGCUUUCUAAACAUUCUUUCCCAACAGUCCUUGGAAGGGUUAGUCUCGGGAUCUGUUACCUUUUCUUAGCUACCGCAAAUUUCUUUUCUUUUUCUUUUUGUUUCUUUUUUUUUCUUUAAUAAAAUAUCAAACCCAGAAUUAGACACAGAUUCAAGAAAUGCUUUGACUAUAGUGGAGUGCAAAAUGCCUUCUAAUUUCCUUAUUCCAGAUGUACUGCUUUUGGCCCCAAACCAGAAACAAAACAAAACAAAAC